GAGAGGCUGUGACAUUAUGCAAAAAGACAAAAGAAGUUUCUUCCACUUCAGUUGAACGUGCCGUGACCUGGAUUCAAACUGGGGUUGCUGGGGCCACAGUGCAGAGUACUGACCUCUAUACGAUCACAGCUGAGCAGGUUCCCCCUGUAUGACCUCUGGAUAUUAACUUUACAAUUGAGAGAGGAAGAGAGAACAGAAGACCAGGAGAGUUAGAAACAAUGACAUGAGGAGAGAAGACAAAACAAAGAAGAGAAGGAGCCAAGAACAUGUGACCAGCUGCACUUUGAAGCAUUUUUCCCUUCAGAAAUAAGAGAGGCCAUGAUGUGAGAAAGAAACAAGACAGAGAGAGACAAAGAGACAAAGAGAGAGCCAGUGAGGAUGUGUUCUGGAUGAACGUUAUGUGUCAAGGCAGAAGUUCCAAAGAGAAGAAGAAAUUCUGCAAAAAUUAAGACAAAUGAAGACUCUUCCCAGGAUUCAAACCGGGGUUGCGACGGCCACAACACAGAGCACUAACCUCUAUAUGAUGAUGGCUGCUUGACGCUGCGCCUGUUAAAUCAAGAAGCAACAAUUAUGGAAGGAUGAAGCAAGACAAACAUGACAAAAAGAAGGAGAAACAGAACCAAAAGACAAAAAGGAGGUCACAAGGG